AAGGUCGAUAGAUUCCUUAUAGGUGCACACCCUACUCCUACAGUGAACCUACUGCAGCCAAUCUAUACUGCAUGGACCCAUAUGGCUAGAGACCAUGUAUGUGUGCAGUCAAACUACAAUAACCUCACUGUGAGUAGCCGAAGCACCGUAGGUCAAAGGACCAAUCACACUACUGCAACAUCAAGCAAGUCACUGACGAGUGGAUAGACAUCCAAGUGACUUCUUGUAUUGGUCACGCUCA
rnacentral:lncRNA from 1 species